rnacentral:lncRNA from 1 species
UUUUUAUAGUUUUGGGUGUUCUUUAAUAGUGAUAUCUCCAUAGCAAAUGGUACAGUUAAUUUUGAGCCAGCUGCGCCCGCUGGCAGGACGGGCUCAGGCUCUGCAGGUUUGUCAAGGUACAGUUCAUUGAAUUUGGCAAUAUUGACAACCAUUUUUAUAGUUUUGGGUGUUCUUUAAUAUUGAUAUAUCAUAAUAUCUCCAUAUCAAAGGGUACAGCUCAUUUCCAGCCAGCUCCUCUUGCUGGCAGGACGGGCUCCGCCUCUGCAGGUUUGUCAAGGUACAGUUCAUUGAAUUUGGCAAUAUUCACAACCUUUUUUGUGGGUUUGGGUGUUCUUUAAUAGUUAUAUCUCCAUAGCAAAUGGUACAGUUAAUUUUGAGCCAGCUCCUCCCACUGGCACAAUGGGCUCAGGCUCUGCAGGUUUGUCAAGGUACAAUACAUUGAAUUUGGCAAUAUUGACAACCAUUUUUAUGGUUUUGGGUGUUCUUCAGUAAUUAUAUCAAAUGGUGCAGCUCAUUUCCUGUGUGCUCCUCUUGCUGGCAGGACCUCAGACUCUGCAGGUUUGUCAAGGUACAAUACAUUGAAUUUGGCAAUAUUCACUGCCAUUUUUAUGGUUUUGGGUGUUCUCCCAUGGUGAUCCCUCCAUAGCAAAUGGUGCUGCUCAUUUCCAGUCAGCUCCUCCCACUGGCCUCAGGCUCUUCAGGUUUGUCAAGGUACAACUCAAACCUGGUUUUUGGCAAUAUUCACUGCCAUUUUUAUAGUUUUGGGUGUUCUUCAGUAGUGAUCUCUAUAUCAAAUGGUGCUGCUCAUUUCUGGCCUGCUUGUCCCACUGACCUCAGGCUCUGCAGGUUUGUCAAGGUACAGUUCAUUGAAUUUGGCAAUAUUCACUGCCAUUUUUAUGGGUUUGGGUGUUCUUUAAUAGUGAUCUCUCCACAGCAAAUGGUACAAUUAAUUUUGAGCCAGUUCCUCCUGCUGGCACAAUGGGCUCAGGCUCUGCAGGUUUGUCAAGGUACAGUUCAAACCUGGUUUUUGGCAAUAUUCACAACCAUUUUUAUAGUUUUGGGUGUUCUUUAA